AGGAUAAACGCUGGCGGCGUGCCUAACACAUGCAAGUCGAACGUCUCUUCUUUCGGGAAGAGGAGUGGCGGACGGGUGAGGAACACGUGGGAACCUGCCCUUUAGUGAGGAAUACCGGCGAGAAAUCGCCGACAAGACCGCAUAGCCCUCUUUGAUGAGAGUCAAAGAAGGAAAGCUUCGCAAGAGGCGCUAGAGGAGGGGCCUGCGUCCGAUUAGCUAGUUGGUGGGGUAAGAGCCUACCAAGGCGUCGAUCGGUAGCUGGUCUGAGAGGACGAUCAGCCACACUGGGAUUGAGAACGGCCCAGACUCCUACGGGGGGCAGCAGUGAGGAAUUUUCGGCAAUGGGGGAAACCCUGACCGAGCAACGCCGCGUGCAGGAAGACGGCCUUCGGGUUGUAAACUGCUUUCUGUGAGACGAGAACGGACGGUAGUCACAGGAAUCACGCCCGGCUAACUACGUGCCAGCACGCCGC
rnacentral:rRNA from 1 species